CACAGGUCUAGUCGCUCAGCAGCAGAGAAAGCGAAUUGGUCGUUGCGGCUUUCCGUAGAUAGAUGUGUGGAAGCAACCCAGUGCUGACAACAAAUCACAAUGGCUGAGUGCACUACGUUAGACAGUCUGCUGGAAAUGGGCUUUGACAGAAACAGAGCGGAGAAGGCAGUAGCACAUACUGAAAACCAGGGCAUUGAGAGAGCAAUGGACUGG